rnacentral:lncRNA from 1 species
AGCUCCAAGUCGAAAGGAAGCGACGCAUGAGUUGUUUGGUGCGGUGGGUAGAUACCUCGAGUUUCUCCUCGCCCACCGUAGGCCCCGACCCCUAAAAAGGAAACUUUUGGGACGUCAGAGUGAGAGGAGAAAAGUGUCUUUUUAGUUUAGUUUUGUCAAACCUGAGGAUUCGUUUUUCAGUUUAGCCGGAGCUGUGCCGCAAACGUAGCUGCCGACAUCCCCACGACGCACCCAAGUGGUGGCCCGGAAGCUGGGGAUAGAAAAGUGGCCUCCCCGAAUGCCAGGCACACAGGCCUUACUACCAGAAGCUUGAGCUGGGAGCCUCGGCCGUCGCAUCUCUAAGAAUUUUAAACGGAAGAACGCAGAAGAAUUCUCUUUAUGUUACCUUUAUUUAGCAACAAAUCAACUUGACUCAACUGAUACUUACUGAGUGCCUUUAAAGGAUGUGCUGAAACAGGUGGUGACUUUUCAAAUAAAAAUUCAGAGCCACAGGGAGAAAGUUGCAAUGUGGAACCAUCAACAUAUUGUACUUGUACUGAAUCAUCUUCAUAAAGUAUCAUUCGCAGUUCAGCUGCCAUUACAACGGCAGGAUAAG